ensembl:lncRNA
GCAGUUUUAAAGAAACAAAAAUACAUAGGCAUUGGGUUCUCAUUCUUAGUAACCUUGGCUUAUUUUCAUCUAAUUUUGGUGUCCAUUCCCUGUUCCCUAACACCUAUUUUCUAAUUAAAUUCAUAUUAAAGUUUCAAAUUUAUGAGACAGAGCACAGAAAACAUACAGUGUGCUUGUCACACAGGUGGCUUUAGGGAGAAUCAUUUCAACGUAAACACCAAGAGAUUGGUCUGGAGCCCAGAAAAAUAAAAAAAAGAAAAUAAGCAUUCCACUUCUCCAGACUCUGCUGUUUUCAGGGUGGUACCUCCAACCAAAAGCUUGUUUCUUAUUCAUCCAUCACUUCUGUACUUUGUCUUGACCAUGAACUCUUGGUCAAGUCAUUAAUCUCUCUGAGCUUUUCUCAUCUGCAAAUUGUAGAUAAUUUCAAUAAUCCUAAAUUUUCUGGGCUAAUCUGUGAUGAUAUGUGUGAAGGCAAUUGAAAACCUCUAAAAUAUCUUACAAAUAUUGACCUAUUAUGAGAAUGUGUGUUUAAAUACAUAAAACAUUAAAUACAAAUAAAUACAAAAUACAAAAAAAAUGUUAAAUACAAACAAAAUUCCCUGAUUCCCCCUUCUAAGAAGCCUGAAAGUUGGGUGAUCCAGCAGGAAAGGAGAGCGAACCUCACCAUCAGGAUGGAAUAAGAUGCCAAAGAUAGGAGGAGAGUGGAAACAAGGGAGAGCCCAGCGAGACACUGUUUAAUGUUUGAAAUCAGUGCCAAGCUAAAUUAGAAACAUGAGUCUGUGUACCUGUAACUUACCUCAUCGGUAUAUCAUCUGUAACCUGAGAUCCCCUCACAGAGAAGUAAAAAUAGCAAGGCUCUUGGGCUGAGUGCAGGAGGGCCAGCGUGGGGAAGGAUAAAGGGACUAGGCAGAGAACGCCAAUCACGUGGUCUGAGCGAGAACUCCUCCUCACCCCUUGGGUGGUGGCAGGGGGAAUACAGCCAAGAGAGGUGACAUCAAGGGCAUAACAAGAAAACCUUGUGGGAGGAGGAGGUCCUGCUGCCCUAGAGCCACCCGUUUUUGUCAUAGGCGUUAUGACAUUUCCUCAAAACGAAGCAUCAUUGACGUCCUGCGCCUGCCUGCUCCUGCCCUGAUCAAGGUGCAAAAGGAGUUAAAAAAGAAGUUACAUUUUCACAUGACCUAUUUUUCACGUCUAUGAUCACAUAGAGCUUUACAAAAUGCCCCAUGAGGAAAAGAAGAAUCCAGUGUGUUGUUACCAUGGAAGGUUGAGCUGAUUCUAAUUGGGUGGAUCUGGCAGUAGAUACCAGGCCAAGUUAGUGGUUUUGAGGACUUGAAGACGGGGAGGACAGUGUUGGCUCUUUGACUCUUCUCACUCAUCCUGGAACCUUGGCCCAGGGGUGAGGCUGGGUUCACGAGCUGCUCUGGGAUGCAUCCUCAACGCUCCAUUUUCAAGGCCGACUUCUGCAAACAUCCUCUCAGGGUUGCUGUCUCUGUACUCUGGCUGUUGUGAAUCUCUGUGUACGGGGGCCAAGAAGAUCCAACUCAGUCUCUUCCAAAUCUUUCCAACUCCAGCCCCAUGAAAACACCAUAUGGCUCCCUCCUCCUCCCUCAUUUUUUUAAACACUUCAGUGGUUUUUAGCAUAUUCACUAUGUUGUGCAACCAUCACUACUCUAUAUAUUUGUUUUAAAAUAAAGCCUUAGAUCACAACCAUGCUUUUUUUAAAAAAACAUUAUUUGUAAUUAGAGGGUAAUAGCAGACAAAUAUUACAAUGAAAACAAAACUGUGCUAUUCAGUUCUUGCUAAAUCAUGCUGCCCGUUGAAAGCUUUGGGCUUGAGGGCUGUUCCGUUUGCUAAAGAGAGAAGUCAUCGAAGGUCACAUUGACGUUGAGGAUAUACUAG